CCCUCAGUAGCGGCGAGCGAACAGGGAAGAGCCCAGCACCGAAUCCCGCGGUCGUAACCGGUCGCCGGGAAAUGUGGUGUUAGGGAGGAUCACUGUCCCGUGGUCGCGCGGCGCGUCCAAGUCCAUCUUGAACGGGGCCACUUACCCAUAGAGGGUGCCAGGCCCGUAGCGACCGCCGCCGGCAACGGGGGGAUCUCUCCUCAGAGUCGGGUUGCUUGAGAGUGCAGCCCUAAGUGGGUGGUAAACUCCAUCUAAGGCUAAAUAUAACCACGAGACCGAUAGCGAACAAGUACCGUGAGGGAAAGUUGAAAAGAACUUUGAAGAGAGAGUUCAACAGUACGUGAAACCGUUCAGGGGUAAACCUGAGAAACUCGAAAGUUCGAAUGGGGAGAUUCAGCGCGUCUCGCGCGGCGCGAAUGGGGAGUGCGCGACGGCCGGCGUCCGCGCCGACCGCGCCCUCAACGUCGCAGCCGCUCGAACGUGUGCACUUCUCCCCUAGUAGAAAGUCGUGACCCGUUGGGCGUCGGUCUACGGCCCGCGGUGGAGCCCGCGCGGAAUGCUUCGGCACUCCGCCGGACCCGCGGUGUCCCGGCCGGCUCGCUCGACGGCGAGGACAGUGGUGCGGGGCCGCGUUUAUCGCGUCCGGCACGCGGCAAGCGCAAACGGUACAAUCCGGCCGUCGGACCUGGUGCCGACACCGGACCCGGUUGGCUGCUGGCUGCGUUGCUCUCGGACAGACCCCGGCUUUACACCGGUCCACGAAGCUUUUGCAUUGGGUACUCUCAGGACCCGUCUUGAAACACGGACCAAGGAGUCUAGCAUGUGCGCGAGUCAUUGGGACGAACGAAACCUAAAGGCGAAAUGAAAGCGAAGGCCGUUUUAGGACGUGCCGAGGGAGGAUGCGGAGCGCCGAGGCGUUCCGCCGCACUCCCGGGGCGUCUCGAGCUCAUCGCGAGCUGAGGCGCACCCAGAGCGUACACGCUGGGACCCGAAAGAUGGUGAACUAUGCCUGGUCAGGACGAAGUCAGGGGAAACCCUGAUGGAGGUCCGUAGCGAUUCUGACGUGCAAAUCGAUCGUCGGAACUGGGUAUAGGGGCGAAAGACUAAUCGAACCAUCUAGUAGCUGGUUCCCUCCGAAGUUUCCCUCAGGAUAGCUGGCGCUCAUGCGCGAGUCUCAUCCGGUAAAGCGAAUGAUUAGAGGCAUUGGGGUCGAAACGGCCUCAACCUAUUCUCAAACUUUAAAUGGGUGAGAUCUCCGGCUUGCUUGAACAGUGAAGCCGCGAGAUGAUCACGGAUCAGAG
rnacentral:rRNA from 1 species